rnacentral:rRNA from 1 species
UACGUAGGGUGCGAGCGUUAAUCGGAAUUACUGGGCGUAAAGCGUUGCGCAGGCGGUUCUGAAAGUCAGCUAGUGAAAGCCCCCGGGGCUUAACCUGGGGAAUUGCCGGUUGAAACUACAGGGCUAGAAUUCUGGCAGAGGGGGGGUAGAAUUCCACGUGUAGCAGUGAAAUGCGUAGAGAUGUGGAGGAAUACCGAUGGCGAAGGCAGCCCCCUGGGAUAACACUGACGCUCAUGCACGAAAGCGUGGGGAGCAAACAGG